rnacentral:rRNA from 1 species
CAAUACCUGAGUACAGUGGCGCACGGGUGAGUAACACGUGACUAACCUACCCUGGAGUGGGGGAUAACUGAGGGAAACCUUAGCUAAUACCGCAUAACACCUACGGGUCAAAGGAGCAAUUCGCUUCAGGAGGGGGUCGCGGCCGAUUAGUUAGUUGGCGGGGUAAUGGCCCACCAAGACAGUGAUCGGUAUCCGGCCUGAGAGGGCGCACGGACACACUGGAACUGAAACACGGUCCAG